AACCCACAAAACUCCCUGCAAAGAUAGAAGCAAAGUUACCUCCAAGCUUUAAAGAUCUCACUGUCGAGUACAAAUGUUCAGGAAUGAACAAUGACUCUGUUGAACCGUCUGACAUGAAGCCGUUCACAAGCUACAGCUGUACUGGUGACAUCAAGAUGAACGAUGUCUCCAUAA